rnacentral:rRNA from 1 species
GAUGAACGCUGGCGGCGUGCCUAAUACAUGCAAGUCGAGCGAACAGACGAGGAGCUUGCUCCUCUGACGUUAGCGGCGGACGGGUGAGUAACACGUGGAUAACCUACCUAUAAGACUUGGAUAACUUCGGGAAACCGGAGCUAAUACCGGAUAAUAUAUUGAACCGCAUGGUUCAAUAGUGAAAGACGGUUUUGCUGUCACUUAUAGAUGGAUCCGCGCCGCAUUAGCUAGAUGGUAAGGUAACGGCUUACCAAGGCAACGAUGCGUAGCCGACCUGAGAGGGUGAACGGCCACACUGGAACUGAGACACGGUCCAGACUCCUACGGGAGGCAGCAGUAGGGAAGCUUCCGCAAUGGGCGAAAGCCUGACGGAGCAACGCCGAGUGAGUGAUGAAGGUCUUCGGAUCGUAAAACUCUGUUAUUAGGGAAGAACAAAUGUGUAAGUAACUAUGCACGUCUUGACGGUACCUAAUCAGAAGGCCACGGCUAACUACGUG